AUUGAACGCUGGCGGCAGGCCUAACACAUGCAAGUCGAACGGUAACAGGAAGCAGCUUGCUGCUUCGCUGACGAGUGGCGGACGGGUGAGUAAUGUUUGGGAAACUGCCUGAUGGAGGGGGAUAACUACUGGAAACGGUAGCUAAUACCGCAUAACGUCGCAAGACCAAAGAGGGGGACCUUCGGGCCUCUUGCCAUCAGAUGUGCCCAGAUGGGAUUAGCUAGUAGGUGGGGUAACGGCUCACCUAGGCGACGAUCCCUAGCUGGUUUGAGAGGAUGACCAGCCACACUGGAAAUGAGACACGGUCCAGACUCCUACGGGAGGCAGCAGUGGGGAAUAUUGCACAAUGGGCGCAAGCCUGAUGCAGCCCUGCCGCGUGUAUGAAGAAGGCCUUCGGGUUGUAAAGUACUUUCAGCGGGGAGGAAGGGAGUAAAGUUAAUACCUUUGCUCAUU
rnacentral:rRNA from 1 species